rnacentral:rRNA from 1 species
AGUGAACGCUGGCGGUAGGCCUAACACAUGCAAGUCGAACGGCAGCACAGUAAUAGCUUGCUCUUACGGGUGGCGAGUGGCGGACGGGUGAGGAAUACAUCGGAAUCUACUUUUUCGUGGGGGCUAACGUAGGGAAACUUACGCUAAUACCGCAUACGACCUACGGGUGAAAGCAGGGGAUCUUCGGACCUUGCGCGAUUGAAUGAGCCGAUGUCGGAUUAGCUAGUUGGCGGGGUAAAGGCCCACCAAGGCGACGAUCCGUAGCUGGUCUGAGAGGAUGAUCAGCCACACUGGAACUGAGACACGGUCCAGACUCCUACGGGAGGCAGCAGUGGGGAAUAUUGGACAAUGGGCGCAAGCCUGAUCCAGCCAUACCGCGUGGGUGAAGAAGGCCUUCGGGUUGUAAAGCCCUUUUGUUGGGAAAGAAAAGCAGCAGGUUAAUACCCCGCUGUUCUGACGGUACCCAAAGAAUAAGCACCGGCUAACUUCGUG